rnacentral:rRNA from 1 species
GACGAACGCUGGCGGCGUGCCUAAUACAUGCAAGUAGAACGCUGAAGGAGGAGCUUGCUUCUCCGGAUGAGUUGCGAACGGGUGAGUAACGCGUAGGUAACCUGCCUGGUAGCGGGGGAUAACUAUUGGAAACGAUAGCUAAUACCGCAUAAGAGUAGAUGUCGCAUGACAUUUGCUUAAAAGGUGCAACUGCACCACUACCAGAUGGACCUGCGUUGUAUUAGCUAGUUGGUGAGGUAACGGCUCACCAAGGCAACGAUACAUAGCCGACCUGAGAGGGUGAUCGGCCAACCUGGGAAUGAGACACGGCCCAGAAUCCUACGGGAGGCAGCAGUAGGGAAUCUUCGGCAAUGGACGGAAGUCUGAACGAGCAACGCCGCGUGAGUGAAGAAGGUUUUCGGAUCGUAAAGCUCUGUUGUAAGAGAAGAACGAGUGUGAGAGUGGAAAGUUCACACUGUGACGGUAUCUUAACAGAAAGGGACGGCUAACUACGUG